GGAGUUCUUCCCGGCAUGCCCUGGGGCUGGCGGGGCUGGUUCUAACGAAUUUGAAUGAGGAGCUCUGCGCUUUCGGCGCCAUUUUCGAGUCAUGACUCCACCGUACAAUUUGGCAGGGAGCUGCGCGGCUGUGCGUGGGACUAUAGACGGUGCGGCUGGGAUGUGCUUGUCUCCCGAGAGGGUGAGGGACUGGAGGACGAGGGGAGUGGAGAUGAGCGGGGAGUGGGAGGUGAGAACUUCAAAAAGCAACGCACAGUGAGCGGUGUCAGCGAAGCAGCAGAAGCAGAUAUAUUGGGCGUCAACAAAAACUGAAACUGUUGAAGGACAUUGUCUCGAGGCUUUAGAAAACAAUUCAUGCCAAGCUGACUUAACCUAUACUUGUAUUGUAUUUAAAUGUGCAUCCCUCCAGAUUCAUACAUAUCAUCGGUGAAAGAAUAAAGUUGCAUGCACAAAACCAGGUAAAGUCUAACAAAAAUAUAAAGACACUCGGUAAAGUCAGAAUUAUUAUUUUUG